rnacentral:rRNA from 1 species
UACGAAGGGUGCAAGCGUUACUCGGAAUUACUGGGCGUAAAGCGCGUGUAGGCGGCUCUGUAAGUCGGGCGUGAAAGCCCUCGGCUCAACUGAGGAAGUGCACUCGAUACUGCAGAGCUCAAGUACCGGAGAGGGUCGUGGAAUUCCUGGUGUAGAGGUGAAAUUCGUAGAUAUCAGGAGGAACACCGGCGGCGAAGGCGGCGACCUGGACGAGUACUGACGCUCAGACGCGAAAGCGUGGGUAGCAAACAGG